AUACUUACCUGGACGGGAUCAAUGGGUGAUCAAGAAGGCUCAUGGCCUGGAGUAGUGACAUCCAUUGCACUGGGGAGCUGUGCUGCUCUAAGGUCUCCCUAAUUGGGAUAAGAUUGAAUAUGAUUUUGAGUUAUUUGGCAUUGAAGUUCAUAUAGAUUUGAU